UGACCGCUGGCGGCAUGCUUUACACAUGCAAGUCGAACGGUAACAGGCCUUCGGGUGCUGACGAGUGGCGAACGGGUGAGUAAUGCAUCGGAACGUACCCAGAGGUGGGGGAUAACGCAGCGAAAGCUGUGCUAAUACCGCAUGUGAUCUGAGGAUGAAAGCGGGGGACCGAGCAGCAAUGUUUGGCCUCGCGCCUUUGGAGCGGCCGAUGUCGGAUUAGCUAGUUGGUGGGGUAAAGGCCUACCAAGGCGACGAUCCGUAGCUGGUCUGAGAGGACGACCAGCCACACUGGGACUGAGACACGGCCCAGACUCCUACGGGAGGCAGCAGUGGGGAAUUUUGGACAAUGGGCGCAAGCCUGAUCCAGCAAUGCCGCGUGCGGGAAGAAGGCCUUCGGGUUGUAAACCGCUUUUGGCAGGAACGAAACGGUGUCCGCUAAUACCGGGCGCUAAUGACGGUACCUGCAGAAUAAGCACCGGCUAACUACGUG
rnacentral:rRNA from 1 species